AGUGUGGUGUUGCUGAUGGUGAAGGAUUUCUAAGUAUUUGGCAAGUAAAUCAAACCACCUCAAAUCCUAAGCCCUAUCUGAGUUGGCAGUGCCACAGUAAAACCACAAGUGACUUCGCAUUUAUAACCUCUUCAAGUCUAGUUGCUACAUCAGGACAGUCCAAUGAUAACAGAAAUGUGUGCCUCUGGGACACUUUGGUUUCAUCUGGCAACAGUCUUAUACACGCCUUCACGUGUCAUGACCACGGUGCCACAGUGCUUCAGU